rnacentral:rRNA from 1 species
UGUAAGAAAAAUGGUCGAACAGACCAAACUUUUAAACUUCUACACCUAAAAGUUAUCUUAAUCCAACAUCGAGGUCGCAAUCUUUUUUUUCGAUAUGAUCUCUUUAAAAAUAUUACGCUGUUAUCCCUUAAGUAACUUAAUCUUUUAAUCACAAAUUAUGGAUCAAUUCAAUUAUUAAUGAAAAAAAGUUAAUUCAAUUUUCCUAUCACCCCAAUAAAAUAAAUUAUAAAGCUUUAAAGGGUCUUCUCGUCCUUCAAUAUUAUUUUAGCUUUUUAACUAAAAAAUUAAAUUCUAUAUCAAUUUAUUAGAGACAAUUAAUAUUUCAUUCAAUCAUUCAUUCAAGCUUCUAAUUAAGAAACUAUUUAUUAUGCUACCUUUGCACAGUCAAUAUACUGCGGCCUUUUUCAAUGGGCAGAUUAGACUUUAUAUU